GUGAAAUGACUUGAGAGGUUAGGAUAAGAGGGGAGCCUCAAAGCAAAAGUGAAAUACCACUACUUUUAACAUUAUUUUACUUAUUUCGUGAACGGAAGCAGGUUAGAAAAAUAAAUUUCUAAUCCAUAUUACAUUUUAGUACUUUUGAGUUUGGUCUCUAUUUUGACUUUGUGCUAAA
rnacentral:ncRNA from 1 species